rnacentral:rRNA from 1 species
CAGCCGCCGCGGUAAUACCGGCGGCCCGAGUGGCGGCCACUAUUAUUGGGCCUAAAGCGUCCGUAGCCGGGCUGGUAAGUCCUCCGGGAAAUCUGGUCGCUUAACGAUCAGACUUCCGGAGGAUACUGCUGGCCUAGGGACCGGGAGAGGCCGAGGGGAUUCCCGGGGUAGGGGUGAAAUCCUGUAAUCCCGGGAGGGCCACCUGUGGCGAAGGCGCUCGGCUGGAACGGGUCCGACGGUGAGGGACGAAGGCCAGGGGAGCGAACCGGAUUAGAUGCCCGGGUAGUCCUGGCUGUAAACGAUGCGGACUAGGUGUCGGGCAAGCUAAGGGCUUGUCCGGUGCCGCAGGGAAGCCGUUAAGUCCGCCGCCUGGGGAGUACGGCCGCAAGGCUGAAACUUAAAGGAAUUGGCGGG